GGGCUUGGGCCCGCGUUUUGUAAUUGGAUGAUAGAAAUUUAAACACUUUUUAAAGUAUCAAUUGGAGGGCAAGUCUGGUGCCAGCAGCCGCGGUAAUUCCAGCUCCAAUAGCGUAUAUUAAAAUUGUUGCAGUUAAAAAGCUCGUAGUUGAAUUUUUGCUGGAAAUAACCGGUCUGCUUUUAUUAAUAAGAGUGGUAUCUUGGUGUGUUUUUAGCAAUAAUGUCCUUUGAAAUGUUUUUUACUUUAUUGUAAGAAGCAAUAUUCAGGAUUUUUACUUUGAGAAAAUUAGAGUGUUUCAAGCAAGCUAACGUUUUGAAUACUGCAGCAUGGAAUAAUAAAAUAGGAUUUUGGUUCUACAUUAUUGGUUUUAAGAACUAAAUUAAUGAUUGAUAGGGACAGUUGGGGGCAUUUGUAUUUAACUGUCAUAGGUGAAAUUCU
rnacentral:rRNA from 1 species